rnacentral:rRNA from 1 species
UACGGAGGGUGCGAGCGUUGUCCGGAAUCAUUGGGCGUAAAGCGCACGUAGGCGGCUUUGCAAGUCAGAGGUGAAAGCCCGGGGCUCAACCCCGGAAUAGCCUUUGAGACUGCAUCGCUAGAAUUGUGGAGAGGUAAGUGGAAUUCCGAGUGUAGAGGUGAAAUUCGUAGAUAUUCGGAAGAACACCAGUGGCGAAGGCGACUUACUGGACACAUAUUGACGCUGAGGUGCGAAAGCGUGGGGAGCAAACAGG